AACGAACGCUGGCGGCAGGCUUAACACAUGCAAGUCGAACGCAUCCUUCGGGGUGAGUGGCAGACGGGUGAGUAACGCGUGGGAACGUGCCCUUCAGUUCGGGAUAACCCCGGGAAACUUGGGCUAAUACCGGAUACGUGCGAGAGCAGAAAGAUUUAUCGCUGAAGGAUCGGCCCGCGUCUGAUUAGCUAGUUGGGGGGGUAAUGGCCCACCACGGCGACGAUCAGUAGCUGGUCUGAGAGGAUGAUCAGCCACAUUGGGACUGAGAAACGGCCCAAACUCCUACGGGAGGCAGCAGUGGGGAAUAUUGGACAAUGGGCGCAAGCCUGAUCCAGCUAUGCCGCGUGAGUGAUGAAGGCCUUAGGGUUGUAAAGCUCUUUCGUCCGGGACGAUAAUGACGGUACCGGAAGAAGAAGCCCCGGCUAACUUCGUGCCAGCCGCCGCCGUAA
rnacentral:rRNA from 1 species